CGAAGGGCUAGCGUUGUUCGGAAUUACUGGGCGUAAAGCGCACGUAGGCGGACAUUUAAGUCAGGGGUGAAAUCCCGGGGCUCAACCCCGGAACUGCCUUUGAUACUGGGUGUCUUGAGUGUGGUAGAGGUGAGUGGAAUUGCGAGUGUAGAGGUGAAAUUCGUAGAUAUUCGCAGGAACACCAGUGGCGAAGGCGGCUCACUGGACCACAACUGACGCUGAGGUGCGAAAGCGUGGGGAGCAAACAGGAUU
rnacentral:rRNA from 1 species